rnacentral:tRNA from 1 species
GGAAAUAUAGCUCAGUGGUAGAGCACUUGUUUGGCAUGUGAAAGUCUUUAAGUUCAAUCCCCAUACUUCCA